ensembl:lncRNA
AAAUAUAGAAUAGACACUUAAACAUUUUUUUUACCAGGUCACAUUAUUAGGCUUUCAGUCUACUUGAUGGUUAAAGUAAAUAUUUUGAUAAUCAUUGUUUCACAAAAUGAGGGCUUUCUGAUGAACAUUUUCACCAGCCCCAUCUACAAAUGGUUGUGUUAAUGUGCAUUUUUAUUAGUGGUGGGUAGAGAUCGACCGAUAUGGGUUUUUCUAUAGCCGAUGCUGAUGUUUAGAGGUCAGGAUCAGCCGAUGGCCGAUAUGUGCUGCUGAUUUUUAGGGGCGAUAUCUUGAAGUUUUCCCCCUCAUUUGCAUGCUAAAAUGUAACACUAAUAAUAAGUGGAUGCACAACAUUUCUAAACGUAUCAUCAUUUAUUGAGCACUGACUUGAACCAUCUCUCGAAUCUUAAUUUUGUGCACUGCACGGUAUUACAAAUAAAAAAAAAUUAUCUAAAGUUAACCAAACAAAUCAAUAAACUGACCAAGUAUUAAAUAUAUAAAACAGGUUUUAUAUAUAUAUAUAUAUAUAUAUAUAUAUAAUAUAUAUAUAUAUAUAAAAAAGUCAAUCAUUUACAUAAAAGUUUUAGAGCAUUUAUCAAACAGAAUUGUUCAAGUUUGUUGGAACAUAAAUGUAAACUUAAAUAUAAAUUUAAAUAAAAGAAAUAAAAUUGUAUAAAUAAAAAUCAAUUAAACUGACAAAUAUAAAAAAUAAAUAAUAUUAGUGCUGCAAACACACUAGCAACCAGCAACAUUUGUGUUUGGUAUAAAUGACACAGAACAUCUAAAGUGCAUUCUAACUUCAAUUGUUAAUUUAAACGACGAUCGAUCAUGGAAAUGAUCAAAUAUUGACAUCCCUAAAUGCAAAUGAGUUGGAUGGAAACCUGGCUAUUGUCUGCAUCAAACCAUGCUUCCGAUCAAAUGUCAUUCACCGUUCUGGGCUGCUCCAGGACAGCUGUCUCUCCGAGCACGGUGCUGUCUGUGAGCGGGGCGGAGAGUGAAAUUCUCUGACUACCUUUAUCUCCCAGGACUGUUGUUGAAUCUUCCAAAAGUUUUGGCUUGGGGUCCUUCACAUGCGGCAGCAGCACUUUCCACCAUGUUCCCACCGCACCAAUAACACGGGGCUGCCCGCCGACGUGCCUGAACUUAAAUCGGCUCUACUAAACAAGGAUAUCGGCCGAUGCCGGUAUAUUAAAAAAUGACAAAUAUCGGCCGACCUCUAGUGGUGGGCAUAGAUUUUUUUUUUUAAUCUAAAUUAAUCUCACUGUAAUCUUGGAAUUAAUUUAUAUCAAUCUAGAUUAAAAUGGCUCAUUUGAAUUCUACCGAAGGCAUUCAGAAUAUGUGUGCUACCCAAAUAAUGACUAAAAGUAAGUCUUUGAGAACGGGUUUCUGAAGCCAGAUGGCGCAUUAGACCAGGGGCUCAUCUCCUGUUUACAAAAUGCAUCACAAACUGCUUGAGAAAGCAAAGUACUAUGAUAAUUGGUGAUGAAAAUAUAUCAUGUUCAAUAAGAUUGUUGUAAAUUCGCUCCCUUUAAGUAUUAAGUAAGCUACG